rnacentral:rRNA from 1 species
GUGUCAGCAGCCGCGGUAAGACAGAGGUGCCGAGCGUUAGGCGGAAUCACUGGGCUUAAAGCGUGUGUAGGCGGAUCGUUAAGUACCUUGUGAAAUCCCACGGCUCAACCGUGGAACUGCUGGGUAUACUGGCGGUCUUGAGCCACCUAGGGGCGAGCGGAACAAGCGGUGGAGCGGUGAAAUGCGUAGAUAUCGCUUGGAACGCCAACGGUGAAAACAGCUCGCUGGGGGUGUGCUGACGCUGAGACACGAAAGCCAGGGGAGCGAACGGGAUUAGAUACCCCCGUAGUCC